CCUUAAAAAAAGUGUUAUAUCAGAACAUGACAAGAUAAUGAAUGAGAAACACAGGAUAUACAGUCAAACUGAAUUAUGUGUAUUGAAAAUGAGAGGACUAAACUCUUUAUCUGGUUAUGAAAAAAGUACAUUGUUCUUCAAACAAUGACAAACACUUCAAAAGGAUUUUGUGUGAGUGUGUUGUUAUACAUUAUUUAAAAAAUCAUUUAACUAAAACUAAAUGAUUGAGUGUUGUCAACAGCUGAGGUGUUUCUACUAUCAGUGUGCUGAAGUGUUGUUUUCUCUGUCUCUGCUGGAGUUUGUGUUCACUCGAGUGGAAUAGAGGUUUUUGUACGACCGUUUCAUUAGAUUGUAUCACUGUGGUACACAUUCGGUGGAGGAACUAAACUGGUGCUCGCUGGUCCCACAGUGAAGCCCUCAGUGUCUCUGCUGCCGCCCUCUUCUCUGCAGAUCUCUGGAGACUCAGCCGCACUGCUCUGCCUGCUCAGCUCUUACUCUCCACAGGGGGCGCAGGUGAGCUGGACACUGGACGGCUCAGAGGUCACCGAUGGGGUUCAGACCAGCGCAGAGAGCGAGCAGGGCGGGCGCUACAGCCGCAGUAGCGUCCUGACCCUCAGCAAAGCACGCUGGGAAAAAGGAGAGCUGUACGUCUGCAGAGUAACACAUAAUGGAGCUCCUCAAGAGGUCUCGUUCCUAAAGAGUAGCUGUUAGUCGCUCUGAGUGCUGAUGUUUCUCUCCUGAAGAUGAGAUGUAUCUGAGUGUCCUGUGUCAGGCAGGAUUCACAUGAGUCUAGUGCUGCAGCUGUAGUCAUUUACAACUCAAUACUGAAAGAGAGCUCUAGUGUCAAAGCACUGGCUGAUCUUUCAAUCUGCUGUGUUUGCUGUAACAUUCAAUAAAGCUUCUCAACAAACUCCA